AUGGCGAACAGAAGGAUUCAGAAGGAGCUCAUGGAUUUGCAAAAGGAUCCACCAACAUCAUGCAGCGCUGGGCCUGCUGGGGCGGAUCUAUUCCACUGGCAGGCCACAAUCAUGGGCCCUGGUGAUAGCCCCUACUCAGGAGGGGUGUUCUUUGUCAACAUCCAUUUCCCUCCUGAUUACCCCUUUAAGCCUCCAAAAGUGAAUUUCCAAACAAAGGUGUAUCACCCGAACAUCAACUCCAACGGCAGCAUCUGCCUGGACAUCCUCAAGGAGCAGUGGAGCCCGGCGCUAACCAUAUCCAAGGUCCUACUCUCCAUCAGCUCCCUGCUCACCGACCCCAACCCCGACGACCCCCUUGUCCCGGAGAUCGCGCAGCUCUACAAGAACCAGAGAGCCCGCUACGAGGAGACCGCGAGGGCCUGGACCCAGAAGUACGCCAUGGGCUGA
rnacentral:rRNA from 1 species